GACGAACGCUGGCGGCGUGGAUUAGGCAUGCAAGUCGAGCGGGCGUAGCAAUACGUCAGCGGCAGACGGGUGAGUAACGCGUGGGAACGUACCUUUUGGUUCGGAACAACACAGGGAAACUUGUGCUAAUACCGGAUAAGCCCUUACGGGGAAAGAUUUAUCGCCGAAAGAUCGGCCCGCGUCUGAUUAGCUAGUUGGUGAGGUAAUGGCUCACCAAGGCGACGAUCAGUAGCUGGUCUGAGAGGAUGAUCAGCCACAUUGGGACUGAGACACGGCCCAAACUCCUACGGGAGGCAGCAGUGGGGAAUAUUGGACAAUGGGGGCAACCCUGAUCCAGCCAUGCCGCGUGAGUGAUGAAGGCCCUAGGGUUGUAAAGCUCUUUUGUGCGGGAAGAUAAUGACGGUACCGCAAGAAUAAGCCCGGCUAACUUCGUG
rnacentral:rRNA from 1 species